rnacentral:lncRNA from 1 species
UCGAAAUAACAUAGCACCGAGUAACCAACUGCCGUUGCCAUAUGAUUACAGGGAAGCUCCGGUUGACUGCAUGAUUCUUUUUCUGUUUUGUUCUGUUAAACGUGCACAGCAUGGUCAGGUACUCAGGCGUCGACCUCCAUUCUGGUCCGGUCGGCAGCUAUUGGAUUUACCCGUCUUCGUGGUCUGAUUAAUAGUUCAUUGGUUGGCCUACAUGUUCCAUCGGUAUAUCCCCUAAUCACUUUCCCAUGCCGUUUAUCUGGAUAAUCACUCAUAUCUACGUGCACAAGCAGCAUCAUGUAUAAAAAGAUGCAAAUUGAGGUGAGAUGCUCACUCGCUCUUGUCUGCCAGUAGACCCAUUGGUUUGAUUAAAGGAUGUAAACCAUUCAUAUUUUACUGUGACCACCUGUGUUUCUAUAUUUCAGGGACCUUCAUCAAAUCCUGAAGCUAACACUGGCCACUUUCAGUGGGCUUCUGUAAAAUCUAAAGGGGAGCGGCAAUGAUUUUUCUUAACCAUGCAGCGAAUAUGAAUUAUUUCAGCCCUUGCUGUAAGUAACAUUAGCAAUUUCAUAAAAAAACUGUGGUGAUGCUUUUGUUGGACAAUUUCAAUUUUUUAAUGCUAACUUAUGUUUUUGUUCCCCAGUAGCCUGGAGACUUGUCAGCUUGGGUUUCCUCUGAGUCUGAUGUAUCACCUGCCACCCAUGUUAAGAGCUAGGGUUCUCUUUUCGGUGUCGAAUCGUUUACCAACAGAGGUACAUAGUUUAUCCUUGUAGAGUUCUGGUUAGAUGGUUACUGUACCCAGUACCCUCCUUUUAUUUCUGUUGGAGACAAGUAGCCUCCUUUGUUGUAACUUGUAAGCGAAACCGAAAAAGACUUCUAAGCGAAACAAACCAAUUAUGGCUCUCUGCUGGGUGGCUAAUAAAUGGCACCUGGAGCCCUCAUGUGGUUCUGUUUGUUGAAUUCUGUCCAGCUUAUCUUUGAGAACAUUA